CAGCAGCCGCGGUAAUACGUAGGGUGCAAGCGUUAAUCGGAAUUACUGGGCGUAAAGCGUGCGCAGGCGGUUUUGUAAGACAGAGGUGAAAUCCCCGGGCUCAACCUGGGAACUGCCUUUGUGACUGCAAGGCUAGAGUACGGCAGAGGGGGAUGGAAUUCCGCGUGUAGCAGUGAAAUGCGUAGAUAUGCGGAGGAACACCGAUGGCGAAGGCAAUCCCCUGGGCCUGUACUGACGCUCAUGCACGAAAGAGUGGGGAGCAAACAGGAUUAGAUACCCCUGUAGUCCCUGUCUCUUAUAC
rnacentral:rRNA from 1 species